rnacentral:lncRNA from 1 species
AAGCCACUUGCUCAAGGUCACACAGCCAGAAACUGAAGGAAAAGGACGCCUCGUUACUUGAGCUUGGAGCAUUUCCCCAUUGAAUUCCUCAAAGCCCUUUGCCUCCCUCUCCAGGGACCAAGUGGGUCACAGGUUGCUGAGAGAAGGAUUCAAAUUGAGGUGAUUGCUUGAAUUUACAAAUAUGUAUUGGGCCCCUGCUCUGUGCUGGGACUGGGGGGUCUCGAGAUGAAUCAACACAUUUCCUGUCCUCAUGGCCUUGGCCGCUAGUCUGUGAGGUGGGCCAGUUUCUCGGCUCUGAGUUGGCCCCAGGGCUCCCAGCUAAAGAGACAGCAGCCAUGUGACUCCCUCUUCCCCAUGACAAUGUGACCCUGCCCCAAGGCCUCGGAUGAUUGGGCCAAGCUGGGACAAUCCUGGGUUUGGAGCCAGAGCUUAGAGCCUCUGGUUUGUUUUGUGGCUGAUUGUCUGGGGUUUCAUCCAAACCGGGGGCCCGGGGAGCCUCUUCGGGAGAAGCCAAGGUAGGUGCAUGAACACUGGAGUCAGGGACAGGAGCUUCGGAGAAAGAGGAGCUGGUGGACACCUUCCUCGCGGCUGUGACAGCAGCUAAACGUUCUCUUCCAGGUCCUGUGAAGCUCACCCCUCCCCUGCACACAGAUUUCUACCUUUUCUUGAAGCUGCUUUGAAUUGGUUUGCAUUUUGGGAACCAGAUGACCCCUAGGAUAGAAGACAAGGAACGCUGCUGCACUGACCGUGUUGUGGGGCCGCCCCUUGACUCCCUCCCUGAGCUUCCCCGUGGGCUGAGCUGGGACCGGCGGGCCAUGCACAGUACUGCUUCAAUAAGAAGAUGCACCCCCAGCGCUCCAGCUCCAAACGGCAGACUGUAAACAUUUCUUUUUAUUUUUUUAAAACGUUGGAGUGUAAUUGCUUUGCAAUGUUGUGUUAGUUUCUGCUGUACAACAAUGUGAAUCAGCCGUGUGUACACACACAGCCCCUCCCUCUUGAGCCUCCCUCCUCUCCCCACCGUCCCACUCCUCCAGGUCAUCGCAGGGCACCGAGCUGGGCUCCCUGUGCUGUACGACAGCUUCCCGCUAGCUAUCUGGUACAAACAGCAGACUUUUUCAAAGCACUUCUGGAGCCCAGCCUAAUUCCAGGCUGAGGGCAGACAGGCUGUACGGGUUUUUAGGGUCAGGAGGACAGCCAGAGGCAAGGGGGGGACUUUGGCACUGCCUGUCUCCUCCCUGCCACCCCUGCGGCUGAGCUCUCUGCUCCAGCCCGCUCUGAGGCUGACCAUGGUCUCCCGAUGGCUCUCCUGCUCUGUCCCUCUGCAGGCCCACUGGCUGCUGGACUGGUAACCCAGGGAAACGAUAUAAAAAGCCUCAGACUCGUACCACCGUCUCUUUCUUUCUUUACUUGGGCUUGGAUGCAGAAGACAAACUCCCCACCUGGGCAUAAGUGAUGAGUCAUUCCUCAAAGGUCGGCAGGAAGAUUUAUCUACUGAGCAGCCAGUCUAGUCCCUGACCCACAUCGCCUCCCCCACCUCUGAUCCGGGCCUGAGACAGUUCCCUGCAGGCUUCCACCCUGUUUUAUGUGGUGGUGCCCCAAGCAAGGGCAUGAAGCUUCCUGCUUCUCCACGGCUGCUCCUCUCUGCCACGUGAUUACCACCAGAGCUCUGCAGGCGCCGGGUUCCGGCUGCCAACUGCAGGGAGGAUGCU